UACGUAGGGGGCAAGCGUUGUCCGGAUUUAUUGGGCGUAAAGAGCUUGUAGGCGGUUUGUCGCGUCUGCUGUGAAAUUUCGGGGCUCAACCCCGAACUUGCAGUGGGUACGGGCAGACUAGAGUGUGGUAGGGGAGACUGGAAUUCCUGGUGUAGCGGUGGAAUGCGCAGAUAUCAGGAGGAACACCGGUGGCGAAGGCGGGAUCCUGGGCCAGUACUGACGCUGAGGAGCGAAAGCGUGGGGAGCAAACAGG
rnacentral:rRNA from 1 species